GACGAACGCUGGCGGCGUGCUUAACACAUGCAAGUCGAGCGGUAAGGCCCUUUCGGGGGUACACGAGCGGCGAACGGGUGAGUAACACGUGGGUGACCUGCCCUCAGCUCUGGGAUAAGCCUGGGAAACCGGGUCUAAUACUGGAUAUGACUCCAUGACGCAUGUUGUGGGGUGGAAAGCCUUGUGCGGCUGAGGAUGGGCCCGCGGCCUAUCAGCUUGUGGUGGGGUGAGGCCUACCAAGGCGACGACGGGUAGCCGGCCUGAGAGGGCGACCGGCCACACUGGGACUGAGACACGGCCCAGACUCCUACGGGAGGCAGCAGUGGGGAAUCUUGCGCAAUGGGCGAAAGCCUGACGCAGCGACGCCGCGUGAGGGAUGACGG
rnacentral:rRNA from 1 species